rnacentral:rRNA from 1 species
CCCUUAGAUGUUCUGGGCUGCACGCGCGCUACACUGAAGCGUUCAACGAGUAUUCACCUUGCCCGGGAGGGUUGGGUAAUCUUUUCAAAACGCUUCGUGAUGGGGAUAGAUUAUUGUAAUUAUUAAUCUUCAACGAGGAAUUCCUAGUAAGCGCGAGUCAUCAGCUCGUGCUGAUUACGUCCCUGCCCUUUGUACACACCGCCCGUCGCUCCUACCGAUUGAGUGGUCCGGUGAAUAAUUCGGACUGCAGCAGGCCUGGUCUCCGGGUUUUGCAGCGGAAAGUUUAGUGAACCUUAUCACUUAGAGGAAGGAGAAGUCGUAACA